rnacentral:rRNA from 1 species
UACGAAGGGGGCUAGCGUUGUUCGGAAUUACUGGGCGUAAAGCGCACGUAGGCGGAUACUUAAGUUAGGGGUGAAAUCCCGGGGCUCAACCCCGGAACUGCCUUUAAUACUGGGUAUCUCGAGUUCGAGAGAGGUGAGUGGAAUUCCGAGUGUAGAGGUGAAAUUCGUAGAUAUUCGGAGGAACACCAGUGGCGAAGGCGGCUCACUGGCUCGAUACUGACGCUGAAGCACGAAAGCGUGGGGAGCAAACAGG